UACGAAGGGGGCUAGCGUUGCUCGGAAUCACUGGGCGUAAAGGGUGCGUAGGCGGAUCUUUAAGUCCGUGGUGAAAUCCUGGAGCUCAACUCCAGAACUGCCUUUGAUACUGAGGAUCUUGAGUUCUGGAGAGGUGAGUGGAACUGCGAGUGUAGCGGUGAAAUUCGUAGAUAUUCGCAAGAACACCAGUGGCGAAGGCGGCUCGCUGGACCGAUACUGACGCUGAGGCACGAAAGCGUGGGGAGCAAACAGG
rnacentral:rRNA from 1 species